rnacentral:rRNA from 1 species
AAGCGUUGUCCGGAUUCAUUGGGCGGAAAGAGCUCGUAGGCGGUUCGAUAAGUCGGGUGUGAAACCUCCAGGCUCAACCUGGGAACUGCAUCCGAUACUGGAUGGCUUGAAUUCGGGAGAGGGAUGCAGAAUUCCAGGUGUAGCGGUGAAAUGCGUAGAUAUCUGGAGGAAUACCGGUGGCGAAGGCGGCAUCCUGGACCGACAUUGACGCUGAUGAGCGAAAGCUAGGGGAGCAAACGGG